AUUGAACGCUGGCGGCAUGCCUUACACAUGCAAGUCGAACGGUAACAGGUUAAGCUGACGAGUGGCGAACGGGUGAGUAAUGUAUCGGAACGUGCCCAGUCGUGGGGGAUAACUACUCGAAAGAGUGGCUAAUACCGCAUACGACCUGAGGGUGAAAGCGGGGGACCGUAAGGCCUCGCGCGAUUGGGGCGGCCGAUAUCAGAUUAGCUAGUUGGUGGGGUAAAAGCUUACCAAGGCGACGAUCUGUAGCUGGUCUGAGAGGACGACCAGCCACACUGGAACUGAGACACGGUCCAGACUCCUACGGGAGGCAGCAGUGGGGAAUUUUGGACAAUGGGCGCAAGCCUGAUCCAGCAAUGCCGCGUGCAGGAUGAAGGCCUUCGGGUUGUAAACUGCUUUUGUACGGAGCGAAAAGGCUCUCUCUAAUACGGGGGGCUCAUGACGGUACCGUAAGAAUAAGCACCGGCUAACUACGUGCCAGCCGCCGCCGUAACAC
rnacentral:rRNA from 1 species